GGUUUUUUGGUUUUCGUCUGGUCUUUUUAUUUAUGAGGGAUGAGGUUUCUCUCUCUCUCUCUGACCAAAACCUCUCUCUUUCGCUUCACCCCUCUCUCUCUCUCUAUUCUUUUCCGUUUGGGCAGGCAGCCGAUCUCGGUUCCCCUCUUCUUCCUUCGUCGUCGUCCGCCGCCGCCGCCGCCGGUUUGGGAUCAGAUGCACGACGCGGCGACUCCCUCCUCUAUGCGCACGUGGUGGCCAGCCGCGGUCCUCGACGUCUAGGCGCCGGCCCGGCGGCCUUAGCCCCCUCUAGGGCGGCCCUACCCAGGCGAACCUGACACUGGAGCGAGGGCGGCGGGCAAAGCAGAGGGCCCCAAAAGCAGGACGAUCCCAAGACUCGAUGAGCAACCCACAAACCACGCCAAAAAAGCCCCCCGCCAACCCCGGGACGCGACCAAAGAUGCCUCUAAACCCUCCCCUAGACGGCGGUUCCGCCCUCAGGAGGGAGCAGCACUCGCGACCUCUGCGUCCCGCCCUAGCCCCCUCGGUACAGCAGCGAGUCGUCCCUCGACCAGAAGGAGUAGGACGUCAAGGAGCUGCUCCUUUUCAAGUUCCUCUGCCACGUGUUCAACCUCGUCCUUAGCCCGAAGAUGAAGUUGUACUUCGUGAAGCUCCUGGACCAGGUCCCACCCCUCACCCUGCUCCACCUCUCCAUGGAGUCGCCGAAGUGGUUCCACCUUCUGUUGGCGAUGAGGUACUUCUAUAAGAAACUCUAGGCGUUCGUCUUCAUGGAACUUCGGGAGCUGUCCGUACUAGCCCGGUUCCGUCACCUCUAUGAGCAGUUCCUAAACUUCCACAAACGGAGGAAAUUGCUCCUCGACAAGUUCCUCUAUUGCGUCGACGACUGAGACCUAUUAAAAUCCGUUUUACUCGUCGACAGGUUUAUGCCCCUAUGUUUCAGUCGGGCCUUAUAGUACGAGUACCUCGAAUUCUUCGAAUAGCUCCGUUUGGGAGACAAGGCUCUGUUCGAAUUAAAGGGUGGUAAAUUUCGGAGUUCUGACGCGUGCAACUAAUUAGUUUCAGAAUUGACCGUUGUAGUCGAGACGUUCUUAGGAUCUGGUUUGGGACUGUAUUUCUGUGAGAAGUGCCUAGUGAGGACACGACGAGGAUGGUUACCUCGUUCUCGAGGAGGGGGACGGUUACCAGGAGAACAACCUGGUUAGGGGUUUUGUCGACCUAAGGGAGGUUACCCACGAGUACGAGGCAAAGUUGGGCACCAAAGUGGUAGAGGUUUACGUUAACGACCAACCUACUGUUUAGGGUUAGGGAGGAAUGGUGUAGGACGAUAACGUGUUCCCGGCGGGCCAGAACAAGUCGGUGGUUUGUGUCGCCGUAAAGACUUCGUAGGUUCCUGAGGAUGUUCACGCGGACCGUAACUGAUAGUCAGACGUCUAAGACUUGUAGACUACUUUUCUUACGCACAUCCGGUCGGUCUACUCCACAGUAAGAGACCACGUUCGGUAGGAGGGUUACAAAUGUCAGUUCUUCUGGAGGGGUUUGUUCAGCAAGCGUGUGAGUUAGUCCCAAGAUUACAAUACUCGGACCUAAAGGUAGGACAAGUUGUUUGAUAAGAAGAUCAACCUUGUUUACAACCACUGUAGCCCUAUACCCUUCAACCAAGUGCGCUUUCCUAUCGUGUGUUCUGUAAAUUUCAAACCCUGUAACCGAGGACGUGGAACGGUAACGUCCGACGUGAUUACUUUCUACGACGUUAUACACAGUUAUCCACAGACACCUCGGGACUACCUUUAUAAAAUCCACACCGUAAAAGUUUCGUAUAACAAGUCUGAAUAUGCAAACAAGGAUUACCUCUCAAUUCUGUCGUUCGUCUCUAACUACGAGUGUAACCGCCCCAGUUACUGUAACGUAAGAGAGUGGGGUUGUUCAGGGAUAGUUAAUAAUGUACACCGCUACUGUUUGAGUAAUUCCAUACCCUACGAGUCAGACCUGUUUUCGUUAUGUGUAAACUUCCGGUACUCCGAAGUCACAUGAGACAAACGGGAGUGAUGUUCCUCUUGUAAGUCAAAUAGAAAAGAUGGCGGUAGCUACCUUUUUAGUUCCGUACCAAUAUGCUGACAAACCCGAGUGCCCAACUGAUGCUACGAGGACCUGUAACCACAUGAUGGUACAGAAUAUCACGACUACCAUGUUCCGAGAAGAGAACACCUUGAUCAUUUCUGCCACUAAGGGUGAACCAGCUCACCUUACUCUGACUUCCUCGAUAAUUCUCCUGUAUAUUACCGAAGUCCUUUGCCAGUGACCCACAACAGGUCAAACUGUGUUGCUCUUUGGUAAAAAACCGACGACCUCUACUUAAGCAACAAUUUAAGACCCUAUACCUAUUGUGGUUGUAUGACUGUUGUUGUCUAACACUCCCACCUGACGGACGUUCGGGCGCGGACUCUAAAUUAUCUCUUCCCAGUAACGAACGACAAUGUCGUUUACUAUUACCUUAUUUUUAUAAUCGCUUGUGGCUACCCGUCGCAAACGACUCCUACGAUCUCUCGUCCCGAAAACUUCCGAGAGCACCUGGGGGAGUUGUUUAAUUAUGGUUCGGAGGUGACGAGUGGUUGGAACCAAGACGAAGUUUACAUAGAUCAGGAUAUCGUCACUUGCGUCUCGCUGGACUAUCCUACAACGGACGUCAUAGUUACUCACCUGACCGUAGAUACCUACAAUCGUCUUGCGGCCUACAAUUUGGUUCUUAUUGACUCCUUAGACUUUUCGACUUCUGGACCUUCAACCGGCUGUAACAACUAAGUCCUGUAGAAGCCCGUGCCGCAACAGGUCUAUGUCGUCGUAGAGGUUGUUUUCAACGGGCAAACAACAUAUGUUUAUCACCCCAACGUGAAAACAGAGAGCCAAGGUUACGACAAGUAUUCGACACCUUUACCGUUGCGUCACUGUCCUUAGGAUUACCGUUCAGAUGACGUAGAUAAAGCGGAGUGGACACCGUUGGUCGUUUACCCUAAGAUUACUGUUUACUGUGUUCACUACCGUUGGGUCUUCUUCGUUGACGGACGUAACGCAACAGAUUUUUACUGAGGAUACAAUACAGACGUAGACCACCGUUUCAGAGAAACAAGUUAUACUACUGCAAGUUCCAGUACUGAUGAAAGUACCGUGGAGGUGGACGACGCUGAAAGGAGCGUAAGGUGGGUGUCCUGUUAUUAUAAUAACGAUAUCCUUACCUCCUGAGCUGGUAAGUUUAGAUGUUACAGGCACAACUACUCCAAUUUUCGUUCGAGUUCCCAGUAGUCUUUUUCUAAUGGCCUGACCGUAAAAGAGUUAGUUACUUACAAGAACAUAGAAGUCCACGACUACGAGUCACCAUGGGUUCUCUACGUGACGGUCGCGGUCAAAGCUCACGUUAUAUGAGCACACUACCAGAGGACCAAAUGCGACCAAAGACACUACCACGAUAACCUCACAAACUUCGGCUCAGGGAAUCCAACGCAACGUCCUAACGUGAAAGGCGGAUACACGGAGGAAGUUAUAGAUCGCCCCGUUCACACAUGGGGUACCAACAUCGCCGCGUAGGGAACCUCGGAUUGGUUUAACGUCAACCUUACUCACUACCCCGUCAAGUACACCAACUCGGCGACCUGCGACUGGGUUUCACCCCUCAGCGCGGGGGGGUCCUAUUGCCUCGGGUAGGCAGGUACAGUAGUCGAGGUCGUCGUAGAUUGUUGGUCUGCAGACUAGUCGGUUGCUCUACUGAGUCCGGUGAUUUGUUACCAUCCUGAGAUCCUCUAUCCCUCUUUCUUUUGUCAAUCUAAGUACUCUGUUCCACUCCACUAUACAUAGUUCAGGUGUGGUAGCGGAACGGUGUCUACCACUAACUACUACCGUACAGAAUCUAAUCAAAAACCAAGGACCAACAAAAAAACGGGGGUUUUAGAAUUGAAGGAGUGGACCACGGCAGAAGGAAACAUUUCGAAAAGGACGAGGGUCGAUCACCACCAAUGAAUCUUCGUCAAUAAACAAAAAUAAAUAAAUACGAGGAAAUAAACACCCCCAUCAAUGAAACAUCACAUUUUAUACGAACAGCACAACCUACUACUACUAUAAACGAAGCGAGCAACGGCGGCUAAGCUAACCGGUAAACCGAAUAAACUAACUACCCUCCUAAACAUCACAUUUCCAAAACUUC
rnacentral:rRNA from 1 species